GUGAGUUUUUAGUGGUUAGUUUUAUUGAGAUCAUAAGUUUAGACAAACUCAAAAUAAAUUAACAAACUAUAUAUAAUGGAUGGUUUUGGUUUAACAUUCAAUCAACUCUUAAGUUUAGUGCAAUCCAAAGUAUACCAAUUGGUUUUAAGCUAACCCAAAUCAAAUCUUAAGGCAAUGGACAAUCUAAACCUCCUUUUAGCAUGGAGAGACCCAAAUGAUUAAGUGAAAAAAGUCAUAUAUGUCAA
rnacentral:misc_RNA from 1 species